CAAUUUGUUGUUAUAAAUAUUCUUAUUUAGGAUUCAUAUUUGCCCACUCCUAGAACGGGAAGAUAGUGACGGAAAGUAACAAUAGGGGACUCGUUUGAGACUCCGAAUUUAGAUUGAGUACACUCUAAAUCCAUUAACGAGGAUCAGUAGGAAAGCAAGUCUGGAGCCAGCAGCUGCGGUAAUUCCAGCUCCAAUACCGCAUAUAGCUACUGAAGUUGAAAAGCUCGUAGUUGAGUCUCAGUUCCAGACGGGUAGUCCGUCUAUCGGUGGUAACUACCUGUUCUGAACAGCCAGCCGAUUUUCUUUCAGGAUCUUCACUAGUUGUCUUGGAUGACCGGCCAGUUUACUUUGAAAAUAUUAGACUGCUCAAAGCAGGCUGUCGCCUGAAUAAUGGUGUAUGGAAUAAUGAAAAAGACUUCGGUCUCCUAUUUUGUUAACCAGUGUCAUUAGAUGUAAUUGAAAACCGUAAAGAAGAUUCGAUUAGUCCUUUGCUUUUACUAUCAUUU
rnacentral:ncRNA from 1 species